CGCGUGACGCACCGCGGGGCCUCGCCCGGGUGUUCGCUCCGCCGCCUGUCCGCGGAUCGGCGCUGCGAGCCCCGCGGCUGCCUGCGGGACACCUGAGCGCGGAGGGUGCGGCACCUUGGCACCUUGACCCUGUGGCAGGGACAUCUCGGCCCAGGAAAGAAUGAGGUUUAGGCACGGCCUAACCACCUAAGUGAGGGCACUGAAGCUGCCGGGGGAAGGGCAAGGUCCGCGUUGCAGAGCCCAAGCCCAGUGGCGCAGGAUUUGUUUUGGUAAGAGGGGAUUUAGCGUCCCAAUUGCUGCAAAUUGACACAGUUGCGGACGUGCAAGCGCAGAAGAAAUUUGUCCUUCCUCACCCCACAGAACAGAAACAACUGUACACUUCUGCUUUUUAACUUACAUCUCCUCUGUCCUCCAAACCUGUGUGUCCAGAUGUGAAACUCAGAUCCCCAGGGGCUGUGGUAAUUUUUAAAUCUGGGGCUAGCCCCCCCCACCUCUAGGCCCUCUGUGGCUUUGGCUCUUGGUCAAGCUUGUGUAUUUGACAAGGCCAGGCCAGGCUCUUCACCAAAGAGCAAUGGCCUUGCAGAAAGAAAAUCUAGCUUCUAAGUUUAUUUGCCAAGUAUGUAUUGAGUGCCUUUCGUGUACCAGGCACUGUUUUAGACUCUGUGGAUACAACCGUAAAUAAAACAAAAACCCGGCAUUCCGGGCAUAGAGCUUAAAUGGGGAUGGAGAGAACAGACAAUACAUAUCUUAAAGGUAAAUAGUCUGUUGAAGAGUGAAAAGUGCUAUUGGAAAGGGGCGGGGUGCGGUGGGGGAGAGUCAGGAGAGAGGUGGAGAGGCAAAUUGCAGAAUUAAAUCGUGUCUAUGUAGGCCUUAUUGGUAAGAUGAGAGUUGAGCCAAUUUAAAUAAGGAGAGUUCGCUAUGUGUAUGAUUGGGGUGUGCUCCAGACAAGAAAAAAAAAUCGAAGGCUCUAGGUGCGUUGUGUGUUUGUGGAAGAUUAAGGCAGAUCCGUGUUGCUGGAGCAGAUUGAGCAAAGCAGAGAGUAGUGGAGAGCAGGUUAAGGUGAUGGAGGGGAAGGAUUAUAUAGGGUCUUGUAGGUAAUUGCAGACUUUUGAAGGGUGUGACUUAAAAUUUUAAAAGGAUUGCAGUGUUGAGAAUCCACCUAUUAGGAAGCUGUUACAGUGUUCCAGUAGAGAGAUGGCGGAGCCUAGAAUCAACAUGGUGAAUUUGGUGAGAAGUAAGAGGAUUCCAGCUCUAUUUUGAAGAUAGAGCCAAUAGAAUCAAAUUCGAUAUGGGAUACAAGAGAAAGAAAGUCAUGAGGGAUGAUGCCAAAGGCAUGAAUUAAGUAAGUUAAUAUAUGUAGGGAACUUAAAAUUAUGCCAGGUACAUAGUAAGCAUUCAAUUUUAUUUUGACAUUCUCAACUCUAAUAGUAGGGGUGACUAGAGCAGUGACAGUCUACAUAUCAGUUUUAGCGUCUAGAAUCAUACAGCUUUAAGAUUUUGCAGUUAUGAAUAUUUACCAAAUGAGUCAAGUAUUUAAGAAGUUUGCAGUCUAAUUGGAGGAGAUAAAUACGUGAAACACACUUAAAAUGAUACAGCUCCAAUGAGUGGAAGAAGCACCAGGGCUCUCGUCUCAUGCCGAAUUGGGUAAAAUGACACAGACACACAUGGAGUGGUUUUAAGGGGUGGAGAAUUUAAUAGGCAAGAAAGAAGGGUGAAGAAAGGAAGAAGCUCCCCUGUAGAGACACAUGGAAGUGGGCUCCAAAGCCUAGAGAGGAAACCCCCAGUGCUGGGGUUAACAGGCAGUUAUAUGAGGAGACUGGAAGAGGCGGUGUCAGAUUUGCAUAGGGCUCAGGGGAUUGGUUUGACCAGGCAUGUCAUUCACAUAGCCCACGAAAAACCUGGCUCUCCCACCCUAGCCUUUUAAUAUGCAAAUGCAGGUCGCCUUGAUGUUCUACACGUGUGGCGAUAUGUGGGGAUGGCCAUGUUGCCAGACACAUACAGGGGCAAGGGCAAGAGGACAGCGGUGGCUAUCGCCAUGUUUGUGUGGACCCAGUUUCUAAUGGCCUGCAUUUGCAUAUCAAAGGUCGCCAGCCGGGCUCUAAGAGCAGGGGCUUUCCUGCUAGACAAGAAACAUUUCUGGAGCUGCUUUAAAAGAGACAAAAACUUUCCAAGGACCCCUUUUCCUAUCUGCCUAAAAUUAUUUUUUUAAUAAAUCCUAUAACAGUAAUCCAAGAUAACACAUUUUGAAAGUAACAAGUUAUGUAAUGUGUAUGGCAAGAGUCCCAUGAGUCAAACUCACAGGGUAAUGGCUGGAAUGAGGAUGGGACUUGAAAGAUGAGUAGAAUUGAACAGGAAUGGGCGGAACUUCCAAACAAAGCAAGGCAAGAAUGAGCGUGGUGUGUUGAACAACAGGGGGUAGACUAGCUUGACUAAUUUGGAAGGUAUAUGGGAAAGAAGAAAAAAUAAGUUGAAUAAAUAGGAUGAGGCCAGUUUAUCCAGGGUCAUGGAAAACCAAAAUGAGGAAUUUCAAAAUAAGGCAGGUUACUGUGGCUACUUGACAUCAUUUUUCAGGAGAUUGUGUGAAAUAGCAGUAAUGAACAUGAUGAAUGAUUUUGAUAAAAUAGGCACUCCCAAAGAUGCCAAUGGAUUAUCUUUUCCACCAAGGGAUAUCUUUUCCUUGCCACUUCCCAGGAGGGAUAAAGAGAGAAGAUUCUAAGGCUACCUUCCUAAAACUACAUCUUUAGGAUUAUUUUUUUGUUUCUCUUUGCGCUCUGUAGGCUUCAUUUUAAGACAUCCUCAACAAACAGGUUUAUUACAGUGUGUAUAUCCUGGCAUUAAACUGUAUGUUAGGAAAUAUGUUGAGGCCGUUCUCCAAGGUCACCCAGUUUUUAGCUUGAUGGUGUUGCUUUCCCCACUCGAUUCUUUCUAGCACCUGUGGUAUCUCUCCUCCAGGUCCUUUUGACCCCUUGAACAAAAUUUCUCUCAGCACCUAUUCCCUCCUUUUAAAACUUUCUACCAGAAUUAUUUAAAUUAAUGAAUGUUUCUGGUUGCCUAAUGUAACACUGCAACGUGUAUUUUCUUAAAAAUUUUUAUAUUUCCUCACAUUAGUGCCUUUCUCUCAGCAUUACCACACAAGGCUCUGUGCUUGAAUGUCCUAUCAAGGCCACCAUAAAAAUGGUAGGUUCAAUUCAUUUUGGUUCAAUAGACAUAUUGGUAUUUCCGAAAUUAAUAUAUGUCAGAUUGGUCUUGACCCAGCCAUCAAAGUUAUUCUUAGAGUCAUACAUAUUUUUGAAGUUCUUUUUUUUUAUAGCUAACUGAACAAAACCAGAUUAAUUAUUGACCCCUGAAAAACUUGUUAAAAACUAGAGAUUAGGCCAUGCUCUAACUUUUCCCAUUGAGAAUCUUUCUUAAUUCAUUGUAGUCACCUUUGUGGGUGUCAUUUUCUUUUGCCGAAAUUUAAAAGCAACACCCAGUUUGUCAAUUACAGGUUUCUGAGAAGCAGAUGCCAAGACGGGAUUACAUGUGCAGGAGAUAAGAGAAAAUGCCUGUGAAGGACAAAGGGAGACCAGCAAGAGAAGGCAGGGAGACUCCGAUUGGAAUGCAGGGGAGUCGAAAUCUGAAAAAGCAGAAUGGGAAGGAAGAAUAGGUUGAAAGAACCUGUUUGUAAUGUCAUUCUGAGAGACUCAGCCAGGUCAAUGGGGAGUCCUAAGCCAAAGUUGUUCAUUAGAGGAAUUCCAAAUUGGUCAGGAUCUGCUGUGCUCAGUAACUGUCUGAGAGCAGUGCAGGAAAAACUUAGUCCGGUGCAAACUCAGUGGUGAAUCCAAAAGUGCAGUAGGCGGAGACUGUAAAUCAAUUCAUAAUAACAUUCAUGGUGUCGCUUCAUGAUUUCUGUAAACCUCUCUAAAAACUUAGGAAAGGGAAGUUAAUAGGACAAACUAUCAUCACAGGUGGUCUGGGACCACACUAGUACUUACCCUGUCCUACACUAUCCACUCUAUAUUCCCAUCACUCUCAGCUCUCACUUCAGCAGAUCUUGUUGACUUACUUGGUGGCAUGACCUAAACAUUCACUCCUAAGUGGUCUUGGGCUUUUGUCAUCAUACUCUUCUCAGUCCGUGACUGCAGUUUGUGUCCAUUCACAGUUAGAACUAGGUAAGGGCAUACCAAGAGGCACCCAAGUGGAUCAUCUGAGUUUCACAUGUGUAUUUCUCCCUGUCCCCAAGGUGUAAAGGUGGCCCCACCUCCUCAUACUAAUCAAUUAUCCUUGCUUGCUGGCCCCUGGCUGCAAAGAGCCAAAAGUGUCGUGCUAUACAUAGCUUAUAGUUCAAUGGAUUCCCGCUCUACCCCUUUGCAAGAGAGAAAACCUGUAAUUCUACUCAACCCAGAGUUGGGGAAAGUGAAGCACAGAGUUCUCCAGUGGGUUAUUAGGAGUGAUUUUAAAUAAAGCCAUUUGUGAUUUCACCUUUUGGUUCCUAGAUCCAUGUAUUUGCCGUACUAGAGACACAGUGCCAUGUAGAAAUCUCUGAUUAGUGCCUAUACUAAAUACUGAGAGAUGUCAUGCCAUCCUUGCAGAUUAUUGUCUCUGAGCUGCUGAUUUCGCUGUGACUUAAGUAGGCUUUUCCAGUACUCUAUGAGGCCAACUUCACCUAAAUAGUGCAGUAUAUGAUAAAACAAUUAGACCUCAUGGACAUGGCCUAUUCCUGUACCUCCUUUUCUAUAAAGUAAGUUUUCUUGUGGAUGCUCUGCUAGGUGGGAUUCUGUGACUAGAGAGGCAUUCUGCUAGUGGUGCCAGCUAAAUCUUUGCAGACAGGAAAGGCCAGGUUCUAGUACCUGCUCAAUCAAAGCCUGGAAGCAGCCAGGGGAAGCGUGGCUUAUCACGAACUCCACAGUGGAUCCAAAGGUGUGGCAGCUGAAGGCUGUCAGUCAGCUGCGCUCUCCACAGCAGGUGCUUUUGAGGAGAGAUCUGAGUGGAACACUUGUAAGGCUGCCAGAGCAAGACAGUGACUCUCACAAAAUCAUAUGAGGAGCGGGAACAUUUGCAGCGCCCUGCUGGAGUAAGAAAUGUAGAAUAAAGAGUUAUUCAAACUUAGAAUAGUACUUGAAGGAGAACCUACCUAAAUUUGUGAAAGUCUAAAUUAUAAACAAUACUGUUUUUAAGGAAAUGCCUUAAUUUACUUCCAAACAAAUAUUCUAAUCUUGAGCAUACUAACAUACUGAUAUUGAAUCCUGGCUAAGGGUUUUACUAUAAGUUAAUAGAGGAAACAUUUUUAACUAGUAGUAUUUAUUUGCCUACAUGUAAUUUGCUCAAAUUUUAAGGACAGUUCAUUUACCAAGACCCCUACAUUCAUAAUUUUCCACAUGGAUAGUGUAAAGGCAACUUCAGCCCAGUAAAUGUCAAUAAAUUAAAAGACUUUUUUCUUUUGAUUAGUGCAGUCUAAAGUAAUUCUUUUUGCAAUAUAUUAAAAUGACUUGCUCAAGAUUCACUUUUCAAAGGCAUUGUGAGCUUACUUCCUACAGUCUGAGACUGUUACAUAUGAGUAACUAUGGAUUAGCUUGUAGGGCCAGCAAAAUAGGUGAACAGAAAAUCAGCCUCAAAAAACCUCCAUCCUUUGCCAAUUUACUUAAGGAAAACUCUCCAUAGCCAAACACUGUUGCUGGUAAUAAAAGCUGCAAGCUGUCACUGAAUUCUGCUUUCUUGGCAGCACAUCUCGAUAUACUGAUUGAUAAAGACUCAGAUAAUCAAAUCAAGAAUGCUACAGGUGGUUACUCCUCAGAAACCUUGAAAGGAUUUAAAUUCAUUCUGCUUAAAGUCAUGCCAUACAGGAAGCCAUCAGAAGUUGCCUGGUAAGGAUUUAAGAAAAAAGGAAUUAAGUGGUUAUUUGGGUCAUAAAUUUUAGGGCAUCAGGUUAUGAGUAUCUGAUGUAUUUAUAUUAAUAAUUACAGCUUACCAUGGGCCAGUCACUCUUUUAAAUGCCACAGCAAAUUUAUGAAGUAGGAUAUAUUAUUAUCCUCAUUUGCACAUGAGGAAACUGUGCACAAAGACGUUAAAUGGACUGCCAAAAAUCCUAAAGCUAGUAAGUGCCAGUACCAGUAUUCAAACCUAGGCAGUCUAGCUCUUAACCGCUAUACUAUAUCUUCCAUUGAAAUGGACAGCUGGUUAUUUUGACUAAAUAUCCUAAGAUAUGUUUGGAAGGGAAUUACCAUCACUGACCUCUUAAAUCUCCUUUUUCUGUACUUCCAAGCUGAUCAACUCUUUUUUUGUGAAAGACUCAAAUUGUUGUGUUGUAUUACAUGAAUCGAUAUAUGGGAUAAUUGCUAAACAUUAUAGACCUGAGAGUCAUUCUAUCUCUUUUAGAAAUCUUUUUCUUUAUUCCAUAAUGGAUAAUGACAAAUUCAAAAGCUUUAGGAAGUAGGCAGAUAACAUAAGUGAGGGAGAUGGCUUGGUAUAAGACAAUUUGAAAUGGCGAGAACUGUGGCAAACCACUACUCACUCGUCACUUGGCUCCAGCUGCUCUGUGCAAAUGUGGAUCCAAUGUUAUCAGAUAUUUUAAGGCCAGGAAUGGUGGCUUAUGCCUAUAAUCCCAGCACUUUGGGAGGCCAAGGUGGGAGGAUUGCUUGAGCCUAGGAGUUUGAGACCUGCCUGGGCAACACAGUGAGACCCUGUCUCUACCAAAAAAAAAAAAACAUUAGCGACAUGUGGUGGCAUGUGCCUGUAGUUCCAGCUACUUGGGAGGGUGAAGUGGGAAGAUUGCUUGAGUUCAGGAGGUCAAGGCUGCAGUGAGCUAUGGUUGUGCCACAGCACUCCAGCCUGGGUGACAAAGCAAGACUCUGUCUCAAAAAAAAAAAAAAAAAAGAUAUUUGAAAUUUUACCUUAAGGGUAAGUUAUUACCUCUGCAAAUAGCUCAUUUCUUCAUCGUCUGUUUUACUCUAUUCAGUUUCAGAGAGAGACCACAGUCUUGACUUUAUUUUCAAGUUCUGUGAAUCCAUUAUUUUUAGAGCUUUUACCUCUUUACAGUCUCCAUGUAUAUAUUCAAUAAUGUAAAAUAUGUUAACAGUUCAUUGUUUGGACUGUGUCCUUUUUACAGACAAUUGACUAUAUAAAAGGCUGAAGGGCUUUUCCAGUAUAUCCCUAGUACUACAAAGUACGUUUUGGAGUCAGACAAAUCUGAGUUUGAAUUCUGUUUCUGAGACAUUAACUUGUAAUUUCAGCAAGAUGUUUUUUCUUCAUCUGUACAAUAGGGUUACUUAUACCUCCUAAUUAGAUGAGGAUUAAAUAUAUAUAAAUACACUGAUCAUAGCAGCUGUCAUAUGCAAAUUCUGAAGCAAACAAAAAAUUAAAAAACAAUGAGUUAUCAUUAAUAAGUCAUAAAGGAAAUAAAGGAAAGAUUAUAUGGAAUCGUAUAAAAAUACUCAAAAAGGGCCAGGCAUGGUGGCUCAUGCCUGUAAUCCCAGUACUUUGGGAGGCCAAAGUGGGUGGAUCACCUGAAGUCAUGGGUUCAAGAUCAGCCUGGCCAACAUGGGUAAACCCCGUCUCUACUGAAAAUACAAAAAUUAGCCAGGCAUGGUGGCAUGUGCCUGUAAACCCAGCUACUCAGGAGGCUGAGGCAGAAAGAACUGCUUGAACCCAGGUUGCAGUGAGCCAAGAUCGUGCCACUGAACUCCAGCCUGGGUGACAGAGCAAGACCCUGUCUCAGAAAUAAAUAAAUGAAAAUGAAAAUACUCAAAAAGGACAUUUAUAUGUAACUAUAUCAAAAUCAAAAAGGCGAUUUAUAUGGAAUCAUAUAAAAAUAGCCUAAAAGAAGUCAGAAAAAAAGAGGAAGAAAA
rnacentral:lncRNA from 1 species